rnacentral:rRNA from 1 species
GUAGGGAAUCUUCCACAAUGGGCGAAAGCCUGAUGGAGCAACGCCGCGUGUGUGAUGAAGGCUUUCGGGUCGUAAAGCACUGUUGUAUGGGAAGAACAGCUAGAAUAGGGAAUGAUUUUAGUUUGACGGUACCAUACCAGAAAGGGACGGCUAAAUACGUGCCAGCAGCCGCGGUAAUACGUAUGUCCCGAGCGUUAUCCGGAUUUAUUGGGCGUAAAGCGAGCGCAGACGGUUGAUUAAGUCUGAUGUGAAAGCCCGGAGCUCAACUCCGGAAUGGCAUUGGAAACUGGUUAACUUGAGUGCAGUAGAGGUAAGUGGAACUCCAUGUGUAGCGGUGGAAUGCGUAGAUAUAUGGAAGAACACCAGUGGCGAAGGCGGCUUACUGGACUGUAACUGACGUUGAGGCUCGAAAGUGUGGGUAGCAAACAGGAUUAGAUACCCCUGUAGUCC